UUGGACGGGGCCCGCACAAGCAGCGGAGCGUAUGGUUUAAUUCGAUGCGACACGAAGAACCUUACCUGGGUUUGACGUGUACGUAGUAGAGAACCGAAAGGGGAUCGACGCUUCGGCGAGCGUACACAGGUGCUGCAUGGCUGUCGUCAGCUCGUGUCGUGAGAUGUUGGGUUAAGUCCCGCAACGAGCGCAACCCUUAUCCCCAGUUGCCAUCAGGUAAAGCUGGGAACUCUGGGGAGACUGCCGGUGAUAAACCGGAGGAAGGCGGGGAUGACGUCAAGUCCUCAUGGCCCUUACAUCCCGGGCUACACACGUGCUACAAUGGCAGGUACAGAGGGCUGCGAAGCCGCGAGGUGGAGCGAAUCCCAGAAAACCUGUCUCAGUCCGGAUUGAAGUCCGCAACUCGACUUCAUGAAGGCGGAAUCGCUAGUAACCGCGAAUCAGCAGGUCGCGGUGAAUACGUUCCCAGGCCUU
rnacentral:rRNA from 1 species